CGCGGCCUAUCAGCUUGUUGGUGGGGUAACGGCCCACCAAGGCAGCGACGGGUAGCUGGUCUGAGAGGAUGUCCAGCCACACUGGGACUGAGACACGGCCCAGACUCCUACGGGAGGCAGCAGCUAGGAAUCUUGCGCAAUGGACGAAAGUCUGACGCAGCGACGCCGCGUGCGGGAUGAAGGCCUUAGGGUCGUAAACCGCUUUCAGCAGGGACGAAAUUGACGGUACCUGCAGAAGAAGCCCCGGCCAACUACGUGCCAGCAGCCGCGGUAAUACGUAGGGGGCGAGCGUUGUCCGGAUUUAUUGGGCGUAAAGAGCUCGUAGGCGGUUUGGUAAGUCGGAUGUGAAAUCUCCAGGCUCAACUUGGAGGGGUCAUUCGAUACUGCCAUGACUAGAGUUCGGUAGGGGAAUGUGGAAUACCUGGUGGAGCGGUGAAAUGCGCAGAUAUCAGGUGGAACACCCGUAGCGAAGGCGGCAUUCUGGGCCGAUACUGACGCUGAGGAGCGAAAGCGUGGGGAGCGAACAGGAUUAGAUACCCUGGUAGUCCACGCCGUAAACGUUGGGCACUAGGUGUGGGGUUCUAUCGACGGAUUCCGUGCCGUAGCUAACGCAUUAAGUGCCCCGCCUGGGGAGUACGG
rnacentral:rRNA from 1 species